UCUGCUCUGUCUAUCUCUUUCUGCUGCCUUUGUAUCUGGAUACAGAACCCUUGGCUACUUCUCCAGCACCAGGUCUUCCUGUCUCUCCAACAUGUUCCCUGCCAUGAUCAUAAUGAACUAAACCUCUAAAACUGUUAAGCAAACCUCAGUUAAAUGUUUUCUUGUGUAAGAGUUGCUAUGCUCAUGAUGUCUCUUCACAGGAUAAAAUGUCUUAAGGUAAAUAAGUGUUGGUCUCCCCAACUCUCUUCCUCCGGAGUUUCAAGUGGAUGGUUUGGCCUACAUAUAAAUGUUUCUGUUCUAGGGUUAUUGAUUUUAUUUUGACUUGUAAGAUGUAUGAUUUUGAUUUUAUAUCCUAGACUGUAAUUGUAAGGAGUAUAGAGACUGUGGUUUACCAGUGUCCCAUCUCCACCAGGUCCAAUUCCCAGGGACAUGAAUGAAUCAGGUUCAUAUUACAUACAGCUAACUAAGGUCUUGUUUUUGUUUUGAGACAGUGCCUUGUUGUAUAUCGAUGACUGGCCUGCGUCUCACUAUGUAAACCAGGCUAGCUUCAAACUCAAGGACUGUCCUAUUUCGAAAUAUCUCCCUAAUCCUGAGAUGAAAAGUGUCUACUACUAUACCCAAAGUACUAUUUUCUGAAUAAGAUGGUAUUUCCCACAGUUGAGGGAAAAAUCAGCGUCCUAAGGACAUUUUUAAACCACCUUCUGGUGAAAUCUCUUCCCUAGCACACCAACACAACUGGACUGUCCUAAUUAGUUUUCUGUUGCUAUGAUAAAACACUAUGGCCAAGCUAACUUUAAAACACAUUAAUUUGGAAGUUAUGGUUUGAGAGGGUUAGAGUCCAUUGUGGCAGAACAAAGGCAUGGUGACAGAAUCAGCCUACAUCUUGACUCAUGAUUUGGACACAAAGAGAAAACAGUGGGGAGGGCUCCAGAUCUUUUAAAACUCAAAGCCCACCCCAAAUGACAUACUUCCUCCAAGAAAGUUACACUGCCUAAUUCUUUCCAAAUAGUUUCGCCAACUGGGGACCAAGUAUUCAAACAUAUGAGUCUAUGAGGGUCAUUAUCAUUCAAACCACCAUAUGGACCAAAGCUGGUUGGCCUGAGUAACUAGCAAUUACCCUUUUGCUGACUUUAAAAUGUUCAUUACAGUCUCUUAGGAGCUGUGUGUUUUCCAAAGAUUGAUGGGGUAAAUAAAUUUGGGCCGAUUGACAGCUGACAUUUGCGUUUAUAAGUCUUCAGUUAAUAAACAAGCAAGAACAUGCCUCAUAAGCCACAGAUUUCUUUAUGAAGUCAUAAAAAUACUUUACUUUGAAGAAAACUAAUUCUCCAUCUCCCAGAACCUAUCAAAUACCAACAGCUUUUCAGCUAAGAGUGGGACUUCUGAACCUACCUCCUCCUUCCAUGUUGGUGUUUUUGUCUGGUUUGAUCUUGUCCAGGUCUUGUCCAUGCUGUCACAACUGCUAUAAGUUCACAUGUGCAGCUUCUGUGAUGUGUCUGAUGUAGUCAUCUACUACCUCUGGCUCCCAAAGGUGUGGCCAUUAGUAGGUCAGUCACACUGCAGUGGAUGGGCACACACCCAAGAGUGUAUAGGAAGCACAAAUUGGACUCCACAGGUUUAAAGAAAUGAGGAAUCAAAGCGGGAUGAAUAUGACAGUUACUGAAAAACUGGGAGAAAUGGUGUAGUCUUCAAGGCACUGAAGAACAGAGACAUGACUACUACUAGUGCAUUCAGUUUGAACUAAUGGAAAGGAGUUUAUGGAAAAUUGCUUGGAAGCAGGAAGAAGACGAAAAAAAAACAAAACCAAA